AAGAAAUCCUAAAGAAUUAUUACAAAAAUCUUAAAUAAAUAUUAAAUAAUUCUAAUCAAAUCCUACUUUAAUCCUAAUUGAAAUCUUAAUAGACUUUAACUAAAUCCUAGAUCAAAUCCUAACUAAAUCCUAAAUUCUAAACCAAAUCCUAGACAAAUCCUAAAUCCUAAAUCAAAUCCUAAGAAAAUCUUAAAUUUUAUAUCAAACCUUGGACAAAUCCUAAAUCUUAAAAAAAUCCUUAAUCCUAAAUCAAAUUCUAAAUAAAUCUUUAUCAUUUCAAAUUGAUCUUAAGAUAGAUUAGAACCCCAAUAUCUAUUGAUUAAAUCAUUGAUCUUACUUAAAAAUUUACAUACCUCUCAAAUUUUUAGUUUAAAAUAAGUAUAACAAAUUUCAAGAUAAUUGUAUUUCCCAAAUAAAAGAAAAAUCCUAAAAUCUACUUGAAUAUUAAUUAGCCUCCUUUUUCAACUUAGAUAGUGAUCUUUUAGUACUAAUAUCUCUUUUUUAUACUAUUUAAUUAAUUUCAAAAUUCACAUAUAUAUAGAAAAAUAAAUAUACUAUCUACAUACAUAAAUUUCACU
rnacentral:lncRNA from 1 species